rnacentral:siRNA from 1 species
UUCAGGUUUGAGCACUCUACAGA